rnacentral:rRNA from 1 species
AGUCGAGCGAGUCUGCCUUGAAGAUCGGAGUGCUUGCACUCUGUGAAACAAUAUACAGGCUAGCGGCGGACGGGUGAGUAACACGUGGGUAACCUGCCCAAGAGAUCGGGAUAACACCUGGAAACAGAUGCUAAUACCGGAUAACAACAGAUGAUGCCUAUCAACUGUUUAAAAGAUGGUUCUGCUAUCACUCUUGGAUGGACCUGCGGUGCAUUAGCUAGUUGGUAGGGUAACGGCCUACCAAGGCGAUGAUGCAUAGCCGAGUUGAGAGACUGAUCGGCCACAUUGGGACUGAGACACGGCCCAAACUCCUACGGGAGGCAGCAGUAGGGAAUCUUCCACAAUGGACGCAAGUCUGAUGGAGCAACGCCGCGUGAGUGAAGAAGGGUUUCGGCUCGUAAAGCUCUGUUGUCGGUGGAGAAGGACAGGGGUAGUAACUGACCUUUGUUUGACGGUAAUCAAUUAGAAAGUCACGGCUAACUACGUGCCAGCAGCCGCGGUAAUACGUAGGUGGCAAGCGUUGUCCGGAUUUAUUGGGCGUAAAGCGAGUGCAGGCGGCUCGAUAAGUCUGAUGUGAAAGCCUUCGGCUCAACCGGAGAAUUGCAUCAGAAACUGUCGAGCUUGAGUACAGAAGAGGAGAGUGGAACUCCAUGUGUAGCGGUGAAAUGCGUAGAUAUAUGGAAGAACACCGGCGGCGAAGGCGGCUCUCUGGUCUGUUACUGACGCUGAGGCUCGAAAGCAUGGGUAGCGAACAGGAUUAGAUACCCUGGUAGUCCAUGCCGUANACGAUGAGUGCUAAGUGUUGGGAGGUUUCCGCCUCUCAGUGCUGCAGCUAACGCAUUAAGCACUCCGC